GUCCUCUCCACCUUCCUCUCCCCGUCCUUCUCCCCCGCCGACUUCUCCUCCGCCGCGCUCUCCUCUGGCCUCGCCGCCUCCCGCGCCGAGCAGCUCCAGGACGCCAUCCGACUCCUCCGCCGCCACCUCCGCGCCGAGGUGCUGCGCCGCCACCCGCUCCUCCUCUCUCACCUCCUCUCCCUCCGCUCCGCCUCCGCCUCCCUGUCCAGUCUCCCCUCCAAUCUCCGCCUCCUCUUCUCCCACCUCUCCCUGCUCUCAUCUCACCUCUCCGCGCCGCGCUCCCACCUCGCCCUUUCCUCCUCAUCCCUCUCCAGCCUUCUCGCCACCGCCGACCUCCUCCUCCACUCCCACCGCCUCGUCCGCCUCUCCUCACGCCUCCUCUCCUCCUCCCCUGCCCCCGACCUCGC
rnacentral:lncRNA from 1 species